rfam:Oryza barthii chromosome 6, whole genome shotgun sequence.
AAUAAGUGUAGUUUUACACUAUUUAUGUUUAACGUUUGACCGUUUGUCUUAUUUGAAAUUUUUUUACGAUUAAUACUUUUAUUGUUACUAGAUGAUAAAACAUGAAUAGUACUUUAUGUGUGACUAACUUUUUUUUAAUUUUCUCAUAAAUUUUUUCAAAUAAGACGGACUUAAACUUUGGACACAGAUUCCCACGACUGCACUUAUU